UAACUAUAACGGUCCUAAGGUAGCGAAAUUCCUUGUCGGGUAAGUUCCGACCCGCACGAAAGGCGUAACGAUUUGGGCACUGUCUCAACAACAGACUCGGUGAAAUUGUAAUCCCGGUGAAGAUGCCGGGUACCUGCGACAGGACGGAAAGACCCCAUGGAGCUUUACUGUAGCUUGACAUUGAAUUUUGGUGCUACAUGUACAGGAUAGGUGGGAGGCUAUGAAGUCGGGACGCCAGUCUCGGCGGAGCCAUCCUUGGGAUACCACCCUUGUAGUACUGAGAUUCUAACCAGAUGCCUUGAAUCAGGUAUUGGGACACUGUCAGGUGGGCAGUUUGACUGGGGCGGUCGCCUCCCAAAGAGUAACGGAGGCGCUCAAAGGUUCUCUCAGCACGGUCGGAAAUCGUGCGUAGAGUGUAAAGGCAGAAGAGAGCUUGAUUGCAAGACAUACAGGUCGAGCAAGGACGAAAGUCGGACUUAGUGAUCCGGUGGUUCCGCAUGGAAGGGCCAUCGCUCAACGGAUAAAAGCUACCCUGGGGAUAACAGGCUUAUCUCCCCCAAGAGUCCACAUCGACGGGGAGGUUUGGCACCUCGAUGUCGGCUCAUCGCAUCCUGGGGCUGUAGUAGGUCCCAAGGGUUGGGCUGUUCGCCCAUUAAAGUGGUACGCGAGCUGGGUUCAGAACGUCGUGAGACAGUUCGGUCCCUAUCCGUCGCAGGCGUAGGAAAUUUGAGGAGACCUGUCCUUAGUACGAGAGGACCGGGAUGGACGUACCUCUGGUGUACCAGUUGUUCUGCCAAGGGCAUGGCUGGGUAGCUAUGUACGGAAUGGAUAAGCGCUGAAAGCAUCUAAGCGCGAAGCCAACUUCAAGAUAAGAUUUCCCACCGUAAGGGUAAGAUCCCAGGAAGACUACCUGGUUGAUAGGUCGGAGGUGUAAGUGCAGUAAUGUAUGUAGCUUACCGAUACUAAUAGAUCGAGGACUUGACCAA
rnacentral:rRNA from 1 species